CGUUAAAUGCUUCUUAAAGAGAUUUAUUAGUCAUAAAGGUCAGAGAAGAAAAUCACAUAACAAAAUAUUCAGCUCCAUUCAGCAGCUGCCUUGGGAACCACUUGCUCUAAAUGCCAAAUAACUUCCCCAAAGGUCCCCUCUCCCCUGCGGUGGAGAACACGGGUGACUGCAGCAGAACCUCAGCCCUUUGCUUUGCUUGGCUCUCUUUUCUUACAGGGGAACAGGCUAACCCAGGAACAAAGAAAAGCAUUAGCUUCAAUCAUUGCAAAAGAUACUAUGUAAUCCAUGGCAAGACCAAUACAACUGACUGAGAGGGAAUUUGCAGUUAUCUAAAGGUAGUUCCCUCCCUCCCCCAGUAAGUAUGGGUUUUAAAAAUCAUGAAAGUUUGGGUGGUUUUCAAUUCUGUCUUUCCACAAAAAUGAUAAAAUGAGACAUCGAGAGAUGACUCUGUAAAUAAUUGCAGAUUACUCUACUUAUGAGAAGCAAUUUCAGAGCCUUUCUAUGCUGUACCAAGGAGGAAAGUACUUUAGAGGAGUCAAAAGUUAUGAAAAUAUAUCUUAUCCCCUCCCUUAGCAUAUAACCAUCUUGAGGAGUAUCCCAUAAAAGAUUUUAUUGCAUCAUUAUCUGAAUGUUCAGAUUGGAGGAUAAGAAAUUCAAGUCUGAGCAACAGCUCUCCAGAAAGGACUGUCACAUAGAUAGGUAAGAAUUUAAAUUCACUCCUUAAGAAAGUUAUUUGACUGAAGAAAUGUUAACAGUUAAAAGCAAUGUUGAUUAAUUGGCUAUCACAGUCACUAUAAGAACAGUCAAAUGACAGCAAUCACUGCGACAUCUUAGCAGCCGUGUGAACUUAGCCAAGGAAAGUAAACUCUGUACCAUCCUUUUUCUAUCUGUAAUAUCAGAAUGACAGUUCUUCCUACUUUGUAGAAUGGAUAGGAUAAAUGAAUGACAUAUAUAUAUAAAGAAGACAUAUAUGUAGAGAAAAUGACAUAUAUAUAUAUAAAGAACAAGAGAAUGUUAGCUAACAUAAUUAUGAAAUCAUUAUUAUUAUUAUCAUUGUUCUUCUUUUUUAAAAAAAAAUCUUGCUACCCCUUUGAAAAUCAUCACUCCAGUGAGCCACAUGGUGGAGUAAUUAAAAAUCAUACCAUACUGGACAUUACUUAAUUUGCUCGUAUAUUAAUCGGACUCUGUGAUGGCAAAGGAAAUAAAGAGUAGUUUGUUUUAAAUGUCUUGGCAGGUAAGGCAAAAAAGAUUAAACAACAUUUCAGGAAAAUGAGUGAGAUGUCAGCUGCUGCAGUGGCUUCCCUGGACUUUGCUGAGGAUUUUAAUUUAAAGAUGUCCUCCAAGAAAUUGGGAUAUACUUCAAGAUUCUCUCAAAGCAACUGACCCUUGUCUGCUCUUGUGAAUACUCAAUCCAAUUGAGAAAACAGCUGGUGAGCCCCUAUUUCAAGUGAGGGUCUAUAACAGACUUGAGAGAAACCAUAGUAAACAAAAAGGACUCAAGAAAAACACAGAUAAGUGGAGGAAACAUUUGUAGACAAUAGUUUUAAGUAACUCAUGAAAAUACCGUCAUUAAACACCAGACACUGUGCUGAAGCAACAAAAAGAAUUGGAAGAGUAUUGUGCAGUCAGGAAAAGGUCAUUUAAAAAAUAAUCUUAAAACUUAACCAGAAUAGCAGGACAGGUAUAUGCUGGCUGACCAUUGGUCCUGUUUGGUCUAAGAAUUUUACAAAAGAGAAGGACUUGGAAAGACUAAGACUGGCAGGCAAGCAAGUGGGGAUGUAAAUUAAGAUGACAUUACAUGGGAGUUCCCGUCGUGGCGCAGAGGUUAACGAAUCUGACUAGGAACCAUGAGGUUGCGGGUUUGGUCCCUGCCAUUGCUCAGUGGGUUAACGAUCUGGCGUUGCCGUGAGCUGUGGUGUAGGUUGCAAGUGCAGCUUGGAUUCAGUCCCUGGCCAGGGAACCUCCAUCUGUCACGGAUGCAGCCCAAAUAAAUAAUAUUGGGUCUACAGAAAAAUUAUUAGUUUUAUUUAAUUAGUAAAUUUAGCAAAGUUACUAAAUUAGGCUCCUUCAACAAAAAUCAAUUGUGCUACCAUCCAACAACAAAAA
rnacentral:lncRNA from 1 species